rnacentral:tRNA from 1 species
GGGGACGUGGCUCAGCGGCAGAGCACCUGCCUUGCAGGCACAAGGCCGUGGGUUCGAGUCCCUAGCUCCA